UAUUUACGUCUAAAAACGUGAGCCGUGUAAUAUUUAAGUAAUGUUUGUAUAUUUAUAGUCUUUUUAUAUUAAUUUUUAAUGAUAUUUGAUAUGAAAAUAUAAUUUUUUAUGUAUUUAGCGAAUUCUUUUUUAUAUAAAUCAAUAUACAAAGAAUCGGAUAUUAGAUAACUUUAGGGCCCCCACUUCGAAAGCUUGCCUAGGACCCCCAAAUUCUCAGGCCGGCCCUGCGACUCACAUAAAUGGUGAGAACGAAUUAUAUUUUGUUAAAUUUGAUACAUAGUUAGUGUUUUAUCAUAAUCUCAGUCGAUACCUAAUUAGUAGUUUACUCAUAAUCCGGCCUAGCCAAAUUCAUCCCCAAUAAGAUAUGUCAUCCUCUUAUAUUAGAAUAUCAUUGUAUGAAAAAAUAAAAAAUAAAUCAUCAUUUGCUGCCAUUUUUUGGAAAUUGGCCACAAUGGUUAUUUUAUAAAAUUUUUAGUUGUCAUUAUGUCACGAAUAUAUCAUCUUUACAUUGUUAAUAUUUAAUUUUGAUCAGUCUAAAUUUAAAGAUGAUCUAUGAUCUUUACAUAGUAAAUCUUUUUCAUAUGAUACAAGCCUGAUUUAGUAAUGUCCCAUGAAUAUAUUUUUUAAUCAAAAAAUGACUUAUCAUUUAUUUUAUGAUGGUUUUAUCUACACAUCUAUUUUUACCUCUCAUACACCAUUUGUUAAUUUUUAAUAUUUGAUGUUCUUUAAUUCAUUAGAUCCAACAGCAAAAACUUGAAAGGGAUACGUGGACAGUACCACUCUUAUUUUAAAAUGUGUCAUUUUGCUUUCUAUGGUCAAAUUUUAUCACAUUGUUGUUGGUGUUUGCUAAUUUAUGACACUCAAUUUGAUGAAAAAGUAUGAAAUUAAUGUUUUUAAAAAAAAUAUUAAGUUCAGAAAAAUAUUGGGUUGAUCAUGUGAAAUAUGAUGUGGUAUUUUUUUCUCUUAAAAAAUUGUAGGUAAUAUAUGUUAAUGUAAUUACAAAGAUUAAGUAAAUGUUUAGCCAUCAUUAUGUAGUAUGUUGCCAUUUUUUACCGUCAGUUGCUCAUUCAUACAUGUUAGUGUUACACAACAUCAGCCGUGAAAUUUCUAGUAAGUCUUCAACAUCUCCAUUUCAAAUCCAUCCAUCCCCUACCCAAAGGAUUGAAAAAAUCUAUGCCGAAAGGUAACAAGUAAUUGUCAAAUAUUGCGCUUUGUUUGUUUGCAUUUGAAAGAUAAGAGUUUGGGAUAAUAUAAUAAGAUCGGGCGUUUUGUUGUUUCUUGGUCUCUACGUGUUAUCAUUUGCUCCCUCUUAUUCCUCAUCUACAAAUGGAUGGCCCUAACUCUGUGCCUACUAGAUUUAGGGUUUUGAUUUAUCACACAUACGGCACCUUCUACAUUGAUCCAAUGCUUAAUUUCUACACUACCAAAGGUCAAGUCAUAUUAAUCGAUAACAUAUGUAAUACGACGUGACGGUAUCAGCCAAUGACUAAUGCCACCAAACAUUGACAAUCGUAUGUAACAAAACGAUAUUAAAGUGAUAAUCGUAAUGAGAAAAUACUCUUUAUAUCAAGUUGAACUCAAUGUAUUAGAGAACUUUUAUCUUUCUAUUUUUUGUACAAGCCAUGUGAGUCCCUGAGUUGAUUGGUUUAGGCUAGGAGUUGGUGGGCAACAUUGGUUGAGUGCGGACUUAUAAAAAUAAAUAGGCAAGUUGUUAAGCCUGAUUGCCCCUUCCUCGGCCUAAUCUAAGGAACCCAUCUUAAGAGUAGGGUCAUGAAUGUAAAUGACAAAGUUCUAUGAAUGUGACAAUAUGGGUGGAUAUAUGGUUAAUAUGUCAUCGAUUUAGGAUACAUUUAUAAAUAAAUAUGCAUGUUAUAACCUGAACGCGUUUGCUUGUAACACAAUGUGACAAUAUAAUAACGAUGUGUUUGUGCAACAAGUUAAAUAUCGUUUGCUUAUGAUAGAUACUAUUAGUUCAUGUUCACCUAACUUAUUGCUACUAGAACCACUUAUAGUUUAGUAUACCACUUAUAGUUUAGUAUAUUCCUCUCCACUUGUAAGUUGAAAAUUUUCAAGUUCGAAUCAUAUGAAUGACAAGUUUGAUAUGCAAUCGAUUAUUGUUGGUAAAUUGUGGAUAGAAUAUUGUAAUAUAAAACACAAUUAUGACUUUGUUAAAAGUGAAAUGGACAAAGAUUAGGCGAGAUUAACUAUUCAGCAAUGGUUGUGUGCGAGACACCUACCCCUUUCUAAAUGGGUGAGGACCUUUACAUCAAAAAACUCCCGCCCGUCCCAUCUCCACCCCCUUUUCAUUAAUAAAAAUAGUGAAAGAAAAUAAAAGAGAGAAAUACAAGCGGGGGACGAAGUCAAGACCUACAAAAACAGAAAAUCAACAAUACAAUAGUAAGGUAAAAACAAAAUGUCUCGAAUAUGGAUAAGCUCCUAUAAUCCAAAGCUUACGAAUGGUGUUGGAACCCCCAUUUGUCCCACAUCAGAUAGAGGGAGAAGAGAAGAGUACUUUAAAUAGAAUUACACCACUCUAACUAACACUGAGACAUUUGGUGAUAAAACCUCACACCUGAGGAUUGGGCAGGUGGUAAAGUGGGGACAUUAUCGGUGUUGUUAGAGUUGGCCCUCGGCUCGUCGACCUGAAAAAUUCCACAUGGUAUCAGAGCCAGGAGAUGGGCCCUUACUACCAUGUUAUUAGGUGGGUCCCCUUUGGCAUCGCGCGAUGUCCACGUAGGCCAAAAUUGCCACGUGAUUGGGUGGAUCCCUGUUUGGCCCUGCGCGAUGGGUGAACCCUCAUUGGCUUCACGUGGUUGCUGAUGUGGAUUUCCACGUGUGACCGAUAAAAUGGGGUCUCACGUGCGGAGGAGUGUUGGAACCACCAUUUGUCCCACAUCGAACAGAGGGAGAAGAGUACUUUAAAUAGAAUUACACCACGCUAACUAACACUGAGAUCUUUUGUAAUAAAACCCCACACCUGAGGAUUGGACGGGUGGUAAAGUGAGGAUAAUAUCGGUGUUGUUAGAGUGGGCCAUCGGCCCGUCGACUUGAAAAUUUCCACAAAUGAAACCAGAAAAGAGAUGCAAGAAAGGAUUAUGGAAAAACUUGUAAUAACCAAAGAACGAUUCAGAACAGCUAAAUCCUUAACACUAUGUUUGAAUGAGGGAAAUAAACUUGGAAUUUGGAUAAAAGUCAGAAUUUAUAAAUUGACAUGCACCAAUUCCCUUGUUUGGAUUUAUAACAUAGAAAUUUAGAAUUUUUGCGUGGAAAAAAAACUUGGAAUUUGGGGCCUCCAAUUUCCAAGUUUAAAUUCCAUGUAAAUAGGUGUCAUUUCCCAAUUUCUAUGAUUGAGAGUUUAAAAUUAACAAAUUCCGUUUUCAAUUCCACUGUUCUUUUAAGUUAACCAAACAACAAAAUUCACAAAUUUUAGAAAAUAAAACCCCUUCAUUUCAAUUUCCGUCAUUUUAAAAUUCCUUAGUAAUCUUAAAUUUCUUCAUCCAAACAUAGUGUAAGCUCUAAUUCAGAAAGCGAGCACGCACAAAGACAAUUAUGACUUAUUUGUUGAUUGAGCUACACUUACUCUAAUUGCACAUCGUAUGAAACUUAAUACGAGCUAACUCAUUAGGUCCAUUUCAUAAACAUUUGGUUUAUAAUUUUUGGACUUCAUUCUUGUGUUAGAGAUGGAGGGAAAGUACAUGAGAAAAAUGAGGAAUAUAUGAUAACGAAGAGUAAGAUUCGACUUAAUCUCACUCUCACUUUGUUUAGUAUUUUGUUUUCAUUAAUCCUUUUUCCUAUAUACUCUUUUACGAAAUGACUGUCAAAGGGGUCGUCAUCUCACUUCACAACAUAGUUCGAUUCUCUCCGAUGCUAGUCAAGGCUUGAAAAUGGAGAGUACGAUUCGACUAUGUGGAAGCAAGUAGCAAUUAGAUAUUUGGUGAGGCACACGAGAUUGCCUUUUGCCAAUGAUUAAAGCUAAUCACCAGAAACAAAAACCUAUGUCCAUGAUCAAAACUGCGUGAUUCCUUGCCCACUUUCUAAGGUCCUUGUGGUUGGUCUUUUUCAAACAUUCCCCUAAGAAGUAUUACCAACCACAUAUUCAAUUAACCUAAUCCUUUCCCUAAUCCACAACGUUUUCAAUUAUUGGGGAGUCAAAGGAUCGACGACUCGCUGAGAGACUUUUAGUGUGCCCAGAAUACAGAGCGGAACACCACAUGUCAUUAUAUAAUAAAGGAACACUUGAAUUGUAUAAUAACAUGUAUUAUUUCACCCCGUGUUCUGGACACACUGAAAAACCUCUCAUACUCAUAAAUAUAUAUAAUUCACAGAAUAAUAACUAUAUCAACUGUGGAUUGCUAUUUAAAAUGUGCUACAACAUGGAAACGGGAAUCAACAAAUAUUGGGCGACUGCUAUGCUCUUCCAUAAUCCCGCCAACAUCUUGAAUAAUACGCAUGGAACGCUGCUCGGCUCUUUACAGAUGAUGAGUCCUCCAUCAUUCACCGUUAAGUUUCAAUUCGAUAAUCAUGAACAAGUUGCCUAACAUAUGAGGAGACAAUAACUUAGAAAUGUACCAAAUCCAACUUGCAAAGUGCACUAGUUGCAUGCAGUUGGUACGAAAAGAAACCAAGUUGCUAAAAAGCCAAGUUGCAUGCAUCCUCAUAGAACACCCUCGUCCCUCUCAAACCCACUAGCCAAACCAAAUAAAACAAAUACUAAAAAAUUAAAUGGGAAGGUUCUCCGAAUCAUGUACAAACUCUGUUGAUCUGUGGAAAAUUCAUGAAGUUGGUCGAUCAUUUCAAUCGGUUGGUGAUUGGUUUGGCAUAUUGGAUUGUACGUGGUGGAGCCAGUUGCAUGCACAUAACUGAUCAAUUUAGGGAUUUUUUACGGUAGGAAUUUUACUAAGAUUUGAUACUGGUUUGAUAUUUAGGUGCUUUUAUAAAAAGUGGGUAUAAAAAAAAAUUAAGCUAAAAAAGAUGUUUGGUAAACACUUAAAAACAACUUAUUUUCACAGUUUUUUGGGAAAAGAAGUUGAAAAUGUGAAGUAGCAAAAAUGAGUUUAUUCUCACAGCACAGUAGAAACAAUUUUUUUUUCUUUUUCAAAGCACAACAAUAUCAAACCAGCCAUUGAUGUGUUGAACUGCAUGCAUGCGAUCUUGUCAACCUAAACUGCAACUUGACAAGUACAAAACUAGUUCAAUUUCGCAUCAACAAAACGCAAAAUUUUUCAGCGUGUUCAAAAUAUGAGUACAUACAUCAUGUGUCAUUAUACAAGUAGAGAGAGAUUCUCAUGCAAAUUGUUAUGGAAAUUUCAUUAAUACAUAAUCCUCAAAUUUCAAAUGCAAAUCUCCAACUCCAAAAAGCCGAUAUAUCUCUUGAAUAUUACCAUGAAACGUUUCGAAAUCCAGAGUCAGAAACUCUGUUAACCUCUCCCUCUCUCUCCCUCUCUCUAACUAGUUAAGUUAAGCUCUCUCUCUUUAGCUAGUUAAGUGUUAAGCUUUCCAAAUACAAAUAAAAUUCCAAACAGUUUCAACCAGAACCAAACACAAAAGGGCUCUUCCUACUUCCUCCACCGCUUCAGUAUUGUCUCCCAUUUGUCCUGCUUUCUCUCUCUACUCUCUCUGUAAAACCAUAUAAAACCAGGGAGAGAGAAUUGGAAAAUAAACAAAUAGAAAAGCUCAAUUUUUGUUUCUGAUAACAAUAAUCUCCUUCAAUCAUUCUUCUUCUUCUCUCUACCUUGUUUGGAUCAGAGACGAAGACCCAACUGAAGCUCUAACGAAAAGCGCCAACUUCACCAUGGUUGAAACCAGGCGCAGCUCCUCUUCCAAACGCGCCUUGUCCGCCUCCCCUCCUCCCAACCCCAAGCGCUCAAAGGUUCGGUCUUUUCCAAUUCAAUUCGUUUUUGCAGAAAUGGGUUUUCUGGGGGUAUUUGAAUUUUAUGUUGCAUGUGCGAUUUUGGGUUGAAAGAUUGAUUUUUUUUUUUUGUUCUUUGGGGAAUUUCCGAAUUGCUUGAUUGAUCGGUUAAUGUUGAAACCUUAGGCGUCUGAUGCUUCAUCGUCGAACAACGGAGUUAGGAGCGGGCCGCCAGCGGAGCCUUUGGGUCCGAUUAAGGAAUCUGGGUCUCAACCUCCGGAACUUGAGCUCCGAUCCUCUGAUCCGCCGACUAUCGAUUCGUUGAAGGCAAUUAACGGCCCUGAUGCUACCGCGCUGGAAAGAUCCCCCGAUGAUGUUGCGGAAGGCGAGGCCUUGGUUUCACCGCAGCCUUUGGGUACAAUCUUUGCUCUCUCCCUCUUUGCAUGUCUUUUUAUUUUUGUAAUUGUAUAUGGGUUUUCAUUGCAUGGAUACGUGGGUUUAGGGUUUGAAUUUUUGUUUGUGGUAGGGUUUUGGUUUGAUUUUGAAUUUCGGUUGUUGGGGUUUCUUAGGGGAAACUGCAGUCCGUGCCGGUUUGAAGCGGGGUAAGAAGCUUCCGAAGAAGAAAGCAAAAUUGAAUUCGAAAUCUGCUUGGGGAAUGCUUAUUUCGCAGUUCUCAAAGGUGUAUUUUGUUGCUUAUUUUUUCUCCUCAAUGUCAUUUGUUAUCAUUGUUUUCUUAGGAAAGAUCCGAGAAACAAAUGUUUGUUGGUUUUUUUAAAUAUACAAGCCGUAGAAGAUAUAAAAUUUGAUUAUGUUUUGCCUGAUGCUUUUUGUUUGGCUAAAAAAGAUGGCUUUAUCACAUUCAUAUAUCUAGGUAAUGAUAACAAUCAAUAAAGAUAUCUUAUUUGGGGUAUUCCUUUCAAUUAGUUGGACAUGUAUGUUGAUUCUUUACUAGUGUUAGGUUUUGUUAAAUGCAGUACAACUUGAUGCAGAGCAGUUGGGUGAGUGGGCAAAUUUUUCUCAAGAGUGAUGAAAUGAUGGAUUAAAUUAUCCUAGGAGAGGGCCAAAACAGUGUUUAGAGUGGCUUGUAAUUGAUGACGACCAAGAAUUUGUAAUUCUUUGAGUACUAUGCCUCUGUCAACACAUACAAGCAGUCAUGUUGUGUACAUCAGUCUUCACAACAGAAAUCCGGUUGUGGUAUCAGCUGUUAGGGUAGAUAUGGAUGGUUCAAGAUUUCUCUCUUAUUCUUCCUUACAUCAUAUUUGAGCUUAGAUAUUUCUCUUUUAUACUUUUGUACACGAAGACGAAGGCAGUUUAGUAUUCCUAUGUUCCAUAUGAAGUAGGAACUAGGAAAGAAUAUAAAGUACCAGUGUCCCUUCUUCAAUAUCAUACAUCACCUUUUCAUGCCUUUAAGGUGGACCAUAGUACUCUAUAGUGGUUAUUUAUUAGGUAAUUGUCUACUUGUGAGGAUUGGCUUGUAAUUGUAUGACGACGUAGAAUUUGUAAUUCUUUGAGUACUAUGUCUCCGUCAACACAUACAAGCAGUUAUAUUGCGUCCAUCAGUCUUCACAGCAGAAAUCUGGUUGUCAUAUCAGCUGUUAAGGUAGAUAUGGAUGGUUCAAGAUAUCCCUCUAAUUCUUCCCUACUUCAUAUUGAGCUUAGAUAUCUCUUUUGUAUACUUCUGUACAUGAAGGCAGUUUAGUAUACAUACGUUCAAUAUGAAGUAGGAAAAAAAUAUGAAGUACCAGUCUCCCUUCUUCAAUAUCAUACAUCACCUUUUCAUGCCUCGCAAGGUGGACCAUAGUACUCUUCAGUGGUUCCUUGGUAAUUGUCUACUUGUGAGGAUUUAGAGUGGCUUGUAAUUGUAUGACGACCAAGAAUUUGUAAUUCUUUGAGUGCUAUCCAUGCCUUCGUCAACACAUACAAGCAGUCAUAUUGCGUCCAUCAGUCUUCACAAAGUAAUCCGGUUGUCAUAUUAGCUGUUAGGGUAGAUAUGUAUGGUUCAAGAUUUCUCUAUUACUCUUCCCUAGUACAUAUUUGAGCUUAGAUACUCUCUUGUAUACUUUUGUACACGAAGACGAAGGCAGUUUGGUAUUCCUACGUUUAAUAUGAAGUAGGAAAGAAUAUGAAGAACCAAUCCCCCUUUUUCAAUAUCAUACAUCACCUUUUCAUGCCUUCAAGGUGGACCAGAGUACUCUUCAGUGGUUCCUUAUAGGUAAUUGUCUACUCGUGAGGAUUUAGAGUGGCUUGUAAUUGUUUGACGACCAAGAAUUUGUAAUUCUUUGAGUACUUUGCCUCUGUCAACACAUACAAGCAGUCAUAUUGCGUCCAUCAGUCUUUACAAUAGAAAUCUGGUUGUCAUAUCAGCUGUUAGGGUGGAUACGAAUGGUUCACGAUCUCUCUCGUAUUCUUCCCCACUUCAUAUUUGAGCUUAGAUAUAUCUCUUGUAUACUUUUGUACAUGAAGGCAGUUUAGUAUACCUAUGUUCAAAUUGAAGUGGGCAAGAAUAUGAAGUACCAGUCUCCCUCUUCAAUAUCGGACAUUGCCUUUUCAUGCCUUCAAGGUGGACCAUAGUACUCUUCAGUGGUUACUUAUAGGUAAUUGUCUACUUGUGAGGAUUUAGAGUGGCUUGUAAUUGUCUGACAACCAAGAAUUUGUAAUUCUUUGAGUACUAUGCUUUCGUCAACACAUACUAGCAGUCAUAUUGCGUUCAUCAGUCUUCACAAUAGAAAUUCAGUUGUCAUUUCAGCUGUUAGGGUAGAUAUGGAUGGUUCAAGAUAUCUCUCUUAUUCUUCCCUACUUCAUAUUUGUGCUUAGAUAUUUCUCUUUUGUACUUUUGUACACGAAGACGAAGGCAGUUUAGUAUUUCUAUGUUCCAUAUGAAGUAGGAACUAGGAAAGAAUAUAAAGUACCAGUGUCCCUUCUUCAAUAUCAUACAUCACCUUUUCAUGCCUUUAAGGUGGACCAUAGCACUGUUCAGUGGUUCCUCAUAGGUAAUUGUCUAGUUGUGAGGAUCUCAAUAGCAUUGUUGUUGGAGUGAAUUCAAUACAAAUAGCUAAUGAUUAUAUUGGAAUAUUGAGGGAAUGUCUGAUGAUACCUUUUUACUUUGUUACCAGUAGAGGAACAAUGCAUGGGAGGAAAGAGGGAGAAGGGUGAAUGGGGAUGGUGUGAGGGAGAAGGAAAAAUGAAAGAGAAUGCACCAUUCAAUAUACAUGUCCUCCACCUCCUUUCUACCAUCCUUAGUCAUCCCUCAUUGCUCCCAUAUCUUUCAUCUCUAUAUCUAUACCUUUUUACUUUUAGAAAAACAUCAUAUAUAAUAGCUUGGUGCCAAAAAAGCGUUCUUUUGUGUUUUCGGUGGCUCAUUGUGUGCUUUGAAUGUUAUCAUGUAACAAGUUGCUGAUAUCUUUCUUUUGUUUAUAGUGAGGAAUGAUUCUUGCUCGGUCAAGAUGUCCUUUUAUAAUUUUGAUCUAAUUAUAUGUUUGUUUCUAAUGCCUUUUCCAGAAUCCGCACCAGUUCAUUUGUGAGACUGUUUUCACUGUCGGUCAAAGUCAUGAGUGCCAUUUAUGUCUUAAAGACCCAUCCAUUAGUACCACUUUGUGUAAACUGAAACAUGUUAAGGUAUUGUCAUUAAUAUAGCUUCUACAUAAAUCUUGACUGGUUAUAUUUUUUGAACCCCAGGUUUGUGAAAAAAAACUGCUCUUGACUGAUAUUAUUUCUUUUCAAAUAAUUUGUUUUUGAAUAGCGUGACGGUUCGUCCGCUGCAGAACUAGAGAUUAUAUGUGGUAAAGGUGAUGUUCAGGUGAAUGAGAAGACUUAUCAAAAGGACACGAAGGUGAUUCUUAAUGGAGGCGAUGAGGUUGUAUUCGGCUUGUCUGGAAAACAUGCAUAUGUAUCCUUUUCGCUGCAGUACCAUCUAAAGUAUAGUAAAUAUGACAUGUAAUGUUGUCUUUUAGGGUUCCACCCUUCCCUUAACCUAAUGCAGUGUCUUGUUGUACUGUUCAAUUGAUUCCUUAGCCUUGAAUCAGAUUUUCCAGCAGCUGACCAAUGACCAUGGUAUAGCUACUCAGGGCAUACCUUCAAUUAGCAUUUUAGAAACCCAGAAUGCUCCAGUUAAUGGGAUGCAUAUGGAGGCAAGAUCAGGGGACCCCUCUGCUGUUGAUGGGGCUUCAAUAUUAGCGACGAUGUCAAAUGUGCCAAAUGACUUGUCGCUACUUUCAGAACCUGCUAAAGCUGGCGACGAUCUGCAACAAGAUGCAGAGAUGCCUUCUCUUCCUUCUGCCUGUCGAGAUACAGAUGAUCAUACUCCAGACAUUGAGAUGAAGGAGAGUACUAAUAUUAAUGAUCAAGUUUCGGGUGAUAAAAAUAUUGUUCAGUACCCUGACACUGCGAAUGAAAACCCCAAUCUUGAUAGUGUUGAAUUGGAUAUUGAUACUGAAACCCAGAAGGCCUCUGGGGCAACUUAUCAACUAAGACCACUCUUCCGAAUGUUUACCGGUUCUUCUAGUGCCAAUUUUGACUUAAGUGACAGCAUUGCUAAGAUACUUGACGAGCAAAGGGAAAUAAGAGAACUUCUUCACAAUUUUGAUCCUCCAAUGUUGAUAUCAACUAGGCGACAAGCAUUUAAAGAAAAACUGCAACAAGGAAUUCUACGUCCUGAUGAUAUUGAUGUCUCAUUCGAAGGUUUUCCAUAUUACCUAAGGUGCAUCAAUUUGCCCUUUUUUUUUAUUAUUGUGGAUUAGAUCAUCAUAUGAUACUGAACUAGCUUCCCUUAUUGUGAUUUGUCCAUAUGUAGUUGGACUCUUAUUGGUAAAUUCUGCGCUCAGACCUUUCCUCAUUUUGCAUUUUUACAGUGAAACAACAAAGAAGGUUUUGAUUGCAUCCACCCACCCGAAUUUGAGGUGUAGCAAUUUUGGAAAAUAUUUUUCAUCACUACCUACCGGGAGCCCGCGCAUAUUAUUAUCUGGUCCAGCAGGUACUUCUGCCAUUUUAAUUUUGUGGUUUAUGAUGCUUGUAAUUCUGUGGUUGAUGAUGCUUGUAAAUUCUGAAAUUCUGAAAUUCUGAAAUUUUAUAUUUUCUUUUUCUUUCCUUGUUAAUUCAUUAAGUUUUUAUUUUAAUAAUUCUUUUGUAGGUUCUGAGAUAUAUCAGGAAACCUUGGCAAAGGCACUCGCGAAACAUUUUGGUGCUAGAUUACUAAUUGUAGAUUCUCUUCUCCUGCCUGGUGUAUGUUCUUUCAUGUCCCUUUUUUAACUGGAAUCUUCUUUGCUUACAAGCAUAUCUUCUCCUUCUGUUCUUGUUGAUCUACUUUUUUCUAGCAGUUUUCUUCGUCAUUUCAGGAAUUCAAGUUUAGAAUUGUGGAUUUUUCUUUUAAAUAUUUCUUGAAAUAUACUUCUUAAUAGGUUGAGGCACCACCGCCCAAGGAUUCUGAUUCUGUUAAAGAAGUACCAAGGCUUGAAAGAGUUUCCACAUUUACGAAACGAGCAGCUCAUGCUGCUGGAUUCAAGCACAAGAAACCGACCUCUAGUGUUGAGGCUGAAAUUACUGGCGGAUCCACUGUGAGUUCUCAGGCACUGCCAAAGCAGGAGACUUCUACUGCAUCAUCCAGAGUCAAUACUUUUAAACAAGGCAUGAUAUUGUUUCUUAGAAUGUCGAACAUACAGUGGAUUUCUUAUUGGUUUAUUGAUCUAGAAUUGUAACUUAACACUAUCUGUCUUUGAGGUGCUAACCCUUAUCCAUCUAUGCAGGUGACAGGGUCAAAUUUGUGGGUGCCAUAUCUUCUGGUACUCAACCGCUGCAGAGUUGUCCUCUUCUAAGGUAUUCGAUUUGUAUGAUGGUAUAAAAUGUACAUUUCUGAGUAAAUUUGAUAUUCAUAAGUGGCAUUUGUAUAUGCCAGAAUCUGAAUUAAGCAGACGGUUUGGUGCCUCAAUGUUUGACAUGGCAUCUUAAGUUGAUAGAAAUGAUGCUGGUGGACCAAACAGUUAAAAAUAUUCUUCCUUGGCAAGUAAUUACGAGCUGCCAAAGGCACUGGAUGUGUGAUAAGUUGGUACAUAUGAAAUUGAGUCAGCUCCCAUGCCAGUUUGUGGCAAGUUUUUGUAGCAGUCCUUGUUCUAAUAGUCCUUUAACAGUUGGUUUACUUGUAUUUAUAAAAGUGUGUCUUCCACAAAACUCCUUGCACUUCAGAAUUUAAAUUUGUUGGAUGAACGGUUUCUUUCUUUUAUUUGGAAAUUUUUACAAAUUCCUUUAAUAUGAUUGCCACUAUAUAAACUUUUUAUGUGAGUUUGAAAAGGAAGAGGAAAAAAUUGUGCAUGGGAAAACAACAGUUACCAUAAUCAUGCUAUAUGAAUCUCAUGGACCAUUGAUCGAAAGUGAUUUUGGUUCUAAAUUUUGCAGGGGACCAUCAUAUGGUUGUCGAGGCAAAGUAGUUCUUGCUUUUGAAGAAAAUGGGGCCUCAAAAAUUGGUGUUAGAUUUGAUAAAUCAAUACCAGAUGGCAAUGAUCUUGGUGGUCUUUGUGAAGAAGAUCAUGGCUUCUUUUGUUCUGGUAAUUUCUGAUAUCAUGUUUUCUUCCCCAUUAGUGCAUGAUUUUGCUCUAUUUUACUUUUUGUAUUCCUGUUAAUAAUUAAUUUUUACUAUGCAGCUAGUCAUUUACUUCCCUUGGAUGUUUCUGGAGGUGAUGAUAUUGACAAGCUUGCAAUCGGUGAACUUCUUGAGGUACUCAUCUCCUUUACACUAACAAGAGCUCCCUUUACUGUACCAAUAUAGUUGCGAUAAAUUUGGUAUUAAUAUCUGCACCAAUGUUGUGCAGGUGGCAACCAAUGAGAGUAAAAGUCUUCCUUUGAUAGUGUUUUUGAAAGAUAUAGAAAAGGUUAUGGCGGGUAACCCAGAUGCAUAUAGUGUCUUGAAGAGUAAGCUUUCAAACUUGCCAGAGAAUGUUGUUGUGAUUGGCUCUCAUACCCAGUUGGACAAUCGCAAGGAGAAGGUAAGAGGCUGAGGAUUUUCAUUUGGCUGAUUUUGAACUCACUGUUGUAGUUUGACACUAACACACUAUUUUUAUGUUUUGCAGUCCCAUCCUGGUAGCCUUUUGUUAACAAAGUUCGGCUUAAACCAAACAGCUUUGCUUGAUCUUGCUUUUCCGGUAUGUGAAUUUCCAUUAUCUUUUCCAUUUUAUUUUUCUUGGUGGCAUGUAAUGCUAAUACAACUUUUAACCCCUCAUAUCAGCAUCAGUAAUCAUGCUUAUUCUGAUUUAGAUUUGUAGACCUUGACAACUGUGCAAAGUGCUUUACUUUCUUUGCCAUAGAUGAGUGAGAGCAUGUCUUGAGUUUUUUCUCUCAAACUAAAUUCUUAUCUGAUUAAUUUAAUUUUUAAUUCACUUUCUGUUUGAUUUACAUUCAACUCUCUCUCUUUCUCUUGCAAAUGUACACAAAUUCCUCAAGGUCAAUUGAAACAGUCUGAUGAGGGGGUCUUUGUUCACAUUGAAAUAUAAAAUUCAACAAUACUUUACCCUCUUUUUCGUAGACGAUGAUACUUUUCUUCUGAAAAACCAAGAUGACACAUUUAUUAUUGGUAUUCAGGAUAACCUUGGUGGUAGACUGCAUGAGAGGAGCAAAGAAACUCCUAAAACUAUGAAGCAAGUUCAACUCUCUCGGAUUUUCCCCAACAAAGUGACCAUACAGCUGCCCCAGGUAGUGAGCCUUUUUUCUUACAUGGUCAUUGUGCUACUUGUUAUUGCUUGCAUGAGGUAAUAUUUGUUGGCUAUCCUGGCAGGAUGAGGCUUUACUUUCGGACUGGAAGCAGCAGUUGGAAUGUGAUGUUGAAACUUUGAAAUCGCAGUCUAAUAUUGUUACCAUUCGCUCAGUAAGUACAUGUGAUCACAUCUUCUUUUUGUUCCUAUUGUUCUUUCCCUUAAAUACGUCUCUCAUGUAUACUGUUCUUACACCUUCUUGCGCACUUAUUGAAACACAAGGAUGUGAAGAUUGUGCACAUGUGCUUGCUAAUGCUAACCGGGAUUCAUGUCUCUGUUGACAUAUUUUAGUUAGCAGUUUAGUGGCUAAUGUAGUGUGUUUAGUGCUUUCGAUGCUAUUCCUGUAUAUUUUCAUAAGGCUGAUGCUUUCAGGUUCUUAACCGAGUUUCUGUGGAUUGCCCUGACCUUGAAAGUCUUUGCAUUAAAGAUAUAGCGCUUACAACUGAAAGUGCGUUUUCUUGAACUCAAAUUUUGUAGUGCAGAACAUUUUGCAGGGAAUAUUGACUUUAAUAUUCACUUACGCGAUUCAUUGUAUAAUCUUUUCUUCAACAGGUGUUGACAAAGUAGUAGGCUGGGCUGUUAGUCACCAUCUUAUGCAUUGUUCAGACGCUUUAGUUAAAGAUGACAAACUUGUUAUUUCUACUGAAAGGUUGUACAAUUUCUUAGGACAGUGUAGUUUAAAUAUACCGUCUAUUCUGUUUUCUUAUCAUAGUUUAUGGUUCUAUGCUACAGUCUUAAGGAUGGACUAAACAUUCUACAAGGCAUUCAAAACGAAAACAAGAGCAUAAAGAAAUCACUUAAGGUAAGUUGAUAUUGUGGGGAAGUACCACAAAUGCCUUGCUUCCGGCUCUCUGAAGAUGAAAUGUAAAUUAGAUUUUCCAUAAUCAGGAAAGUAAGUGCAUAUUGUAUUGGAUUUAACUCCAUGAUAUUUCAGGAUGUGGUUACUGGAAAUGAAUUUGAGAAAAAACUUCUUGCUGAUGUUAUUCCACCGAGCGAUAUUGGGGUUACUUUUGAUGACAUCGGGGCCUUGGAAAAUGUGAAGGACACCCUAAAGGAGUUGGUGAUGCUUCCUCUUCAGAGGCCUGAAUUAUUUAGCAAGGGACAGUUGACUAAGGUAGAAACAUGGCACUCUUUUCAUUUGUCCCCUUUGGAAUUCUUAUCUGAUUAUCGUCACUUAUUCUACAGCCUUGUAAAGGAAUCUUGCUCUUUGGUCCUCCGGGCACUGGAAAGACCAUGCUUGCGAAGGCUGUUGCAACGGAAGCUGGUGCAAACUUUAUUAACAUAUCAAUGUCAAGUAUUACUUCAAAGGUAUUUUUGCAUUUUAUCGUGGUUGUUGGAACUUGGAUAAACAUUUUGUGACAACUAUUGAAUCCAUAUGACCCCUUUAACUUUUGUUGCAGUGGUUUGGGGAAGGAGAGAAGUACGUUAAAGCGGUGUUCUCCUUAGCUAGUAAAAUUGCCCCUAGUGUUGUUUUUGUUGAUGAGGUUGGUUCAUUACAUACUAUAUAUUUGCGCUGUCCAGGGAACCUUUUUCUUUAGUUUUCUCGUUUGGAAAAUGUGAGUUAUACAAAGAGUUUUCUGGAACUGCUUUAUAAGCUGACAUGGUGGGCUAGUUUGCCUCGGUUAUUAAACUACAGCAGUGUAGGCCACUAGUGGAUGGCACGGCCAUGCAAGAUACAAUGUCAGUUUAUGAGUGUUUAUAGAAUCCUUUUGUUCGUCUUGUUUCACUCAAUUUUAUUCCCGUCCAAUUUGAUUUUUUUUUUUGGCUACCAUCAUAGGUUGACAGCAUGUUAGGCAGACGUGAAAAUCCUGGGGAACAUGAGGCUAUGCGUAAAAUGAAAAAUGAGUUCAUGGUUAACUGGGAUGGUCUGCGUACAAAGGAUAAAGAACGUGUAUUGGUACUUGCUGCUACUAAUAGGCCUUUUGACCUUGAUGAGGCUGUUAUUAGGAGGCUUCCGAGGAGGUAAAAUUGCAUGUUUGCCUGUUGUGCUGCUACUGCAUCUGUUAUAUGUCAACGCAAGUAUAUUGACUUCCUGCGUACAAAAUUGAUUCCAUGUGCAGAUUGAUGGUGAACUUGCCAGAUGGCCAGAACAGAGAAAAAAUACUGAGAGUUGUAUUGGCCAAAGAAGAUUUGGAAACUGACGUUGAUUUGGAGGCAGUUGCAAAUAUGACAGAUGGGUAUUCCGGAAGUGACUUAAAGGUUGCCUACUAAUUUUUACGAAACCCAUCUAAGCUUUUUACAUACGUAGUUUUAUUUUUGUCGGUUAUAUUCUAUGUAGUUCUAUUUUCUCUUAUGUAAUGGAUUGUCCCAAUUUUUGUUGUGGUUGCAGAAUCUGUGUGUUGCUGCAGCUCACCUCCCCAUUAGGGAAAUUUUGGAGAAGGAGAAAAAGGUUGGUUUUCUGUACAGUGUAACAAAAAUACAAAGCCCUUGUUGAUUUUUUAACUUGAAGUGGUGUGGUUGGUUACUGCAACUAAGUAGUUCUUUCUUCACGUAUCGCAGGAGAGAAGUUUAGCUUUGGCGGAGAACAGACCUGUACCGGAGUUGUACUGCAGCACCGACAUUCGUCCUUUGAAGAUGGAGGACUUCAAACAUGCGCAUGAGCAGGUACGUUGUGACCUAAUAAUACAAUACGGGGUUUUGGCUUCUUGUAGUAUUCUACCGUGGUCGGAAGUGUUCAGUUGUGUUCCGGAUCAUUGGCUGUCUAAGAUUGAAUUCACUGCAGGUGUGUGCAAGUGUGUCAUCGGAGUCGACAAAUAUGAGUGAGCUUCUCCAAUGGAAUGACCUAUACGGCGAAGGCGGAUCAAGAAAGAAGACCUCUCUCAGCUAUUUUAUGUAGAAUAGGUAUUUUUUUCGGUGUAUAGAAGUUGGUUUUGUUUAUUCUUCUUCAUCGAGCUUAUAAGGCGUGGGAAGAUAUCCAUGGAAAUCCCGUCCAAGUUCACGCCCCCAUUUGUACGAUAUAUAUAGGGUAUUUUUUUUCUCCUUUUUCGCAUUUAUUCGAUUUAUAUUUAACACCUCUGUUAGCAAUGUCGUUCCCAGUUCAUAUGCAGUUAUCUAACUUAGCCUUUUCUCUUUGUUAUGGGUCCUUUUUAGCCUGUAAAUGCUAAUCGAUAAAUGAAAGACGUUUUACAAUUUUCUAAUGUUUGCUUAUUUGAGUCGAUCGGUGUAUGAAAGUGUGAUAUUUUGGAGUGUUUGUAAAGGUAUGAUAGAAAGGAUGCAAAGUCGUGUUACAUUAGAAGUAUGCCUGACAAUUUCUAGACUUGUUAACCCGACACCAAACGACACAAUAAUAACAAGUUUAGAGUUGAUCUGUUAACAAGUCACAUUGUUGUGGAUCAUUCGUUAAGAACCCGAUAUCAUUUUUUAAAAUAAACUAAUGAAUUUAGAAAAUUUUCAACCAGUUUAUCAACCAUCUCAGCAAACAUCAUGACUAUAAGGCACAUUAGAUGAAUGAGUACAUUUUAAAGAUACAAGUAAAACAAUAGUAUGAAAAACUAUGAGGCAUGAUUUGCACCAAUUUACCAUUGAAGGCCAAUUUAUCGACAUGCUCUGAAAACGUUGUAGACUGAUGUAGAGCGUUGUGUCCAUAGUCUGUAGGUUAUCUAUAGAGUAGAAAUUCUUCUAUACAUAUUGGCAUGGGCAAAGUUACAUAGGAGCGAGGAGGGGCGGACACUCCUCCCCUCGUCGGAAAUCAAGGCUAGGAGCGAUGGUUCCGCCCCUCUGGUCCUGUUGGAAAUAAUGGAGUCCCGGCUGCUUCUCUGGAUUCUUUGCUGCUGCACGCAGCAGCAGCUUAGAGUUGUAAGUUUUUUUUUCUUCUGAAAAGUCUUAAGACGGAACGAUGCCGUUUCGGUCGAUUGAGUUAAAAAUAAAAAGAAAUGAUUGUAGUGGGGACCAGUAGUCCUCCCGUUUCCUCUUCACAAUCACACCCCGUCCUUUUUAAGAGAACAACAAAGUAUGCCCCAAAAAACUCACAAUUCACAAAUAUACCCUCUAGUUCUGACUUGUUAAAUUAUAUAUUGGCAAUGUAUUUAAUUUUGUAUAUAUGAAUAUAAAUUUUAGUCCACAAUCACCUAAUGUAGAUUAAUAGUUAGCACAUAAUUCAGUCUCUUACUUAUAUGUUAGCAUUAGAUAAUUGGUAGUGAUCAUUUUGAUCGUUUUUGAAGUAGUGUUCAUUUUGAUAUUUUCAAAUGAGUAAAAAAAUGAAGGACGUAUAGGUUUGGAGUUUACCUUAAAAAUAUAGGUCAACUAUAAUUUACACUCUUCACGUUUGAAAUGAUUUUUAAAAUGGACCACGAAGUUUUAAAAUUCUCAUAAUACAUCUGAUAAUACAUCAUAAGAUAUAUUAUAAGUGUAUUAAUUUUUAUCUUCGGCCUAAUUGUACUAUUUAUUAAAUUGAUGACAUUGUGAGCUUGAUACCCUUAUAUGAGCUCACUUGUAAACUAUAUUUGCACCAGAUUGACUAAAAAAAAAUUGAUUUUGACGAAGAUUUAACUGAAACCGAAGGAUGAUGGGCGUUGAAAAUGUGUUUUUUUGGACGACUAGUCAGAAGAAAAAACAAAGCAUUUCGAAUGGAAGAAUUUGCAAUGACCAAAGACAAACUUUUUUCCUCAAAAAGUUUUUCCGACGGCUUAAUACCUUUUCCUACAACAUUUUACCCUUGCUAAUAACAUUUCAUUAUGAAAUGAAUGAGCACAUUAUGGAAUGUUUUCAUGACACGAAACCUCGCUGGCAAUAAUUUUUACCCAUUCAAAUUUUGCCCCCCUUGUCAAUACUUCCUAGCUUCACCACUAUAUUGGUAUGGGUGGUUUGGGUCGGAUAAUCACAAAUUUAUUCAAUGUAACAAUCCCUAACGUCCCAAAUAGUUGAGUGAUAUCUCUUUAAAUAUUUGCCAUUGAUGGGGUGUUUUUGGAGAUUCCCUUCUAGGUCUGUUAAAUGAUAUACAUGUGAUCUUUUCUAGCUUCCAUGUCAUCGUAAUGAUGGGAGUUGAAGCUUUUUCAUCUGUCUUGAAUCUUCUAUCCGAUAGAUGAUCUUCAAAUUAAGAAUAAACUCAAAAAGAAGGAUAAUUAUUUUAACAAUAUUUGACCAAACUUAAAAAGAGAUGUGUUGGACUCUUCGAAAUAGACUUCUCCAAUCAGCUUGACGACAAAUUGAACCUUGUGAGAGUUGAUGAUCUUGAAAAGUGAGGUCAAAGUACAUAUCUUGUUCACUUUCUCUGGCUCAGCCUUGGUUUGAAUCAAGGUAUUAAAUAUCGAUGAUAUCGGAAAUAUCGGUAGUCCAAAAACACGGAAAUUUUGAUGGAAAUAUCGGAAUAUUAUCGAUAUUGAUAAAAAUUGAAUAAAAACCACGGAAAUUGUAAGAAAAACUUAGCAAUUUUUAUUGAAACUUUGCAGAAUGUUUAUUUAGUCAAUUAUCUAUUAGUUUAUCACAAAAAAUUGGAAGGAAAUGCAUUGCAUGAUGGAUUUAACUUAUUUAAGUUGAUUAUAUAGCGAGCUGGCAAACAUUGUGAGUGUAGAAAAUAUGUAGUAAUUAAUGAAAGAAGUUUAAACACACCAUAAUCAUUUAUAUAUAAUGAAUUAGUACAAUAUUUUACACUUUAUAAAUUGCAUGGUAAGAUACAUGAGUGACUUAGUAUCACAUAGAGUUCCUAUGAGGUUCAAAAUUUUGACUAUCUUCAUCAUCUCUAUGUGUAGAGUGUGUGUAUUGUGAAGAGUAGUCAUCAAAUGAUAAAUCCCCAAAAUAGUUUUGCAUGUAAUUGUUAACAUGCCACCCAUAUGGAUCCGAGAUUGGUUGACGUUGUCCAUAAGCAAAAUCAUUUGAAGAUUGAGUCUCAGAUUCUUUCCAUGAGUCGCUCGAUUCCAUCCUAACAGGAAUGAGAUAUGAAGGGUAGGGAAAUGGUUGGUUAUGAGUAUAACCAUAGUUACUACUUCCCACUCCAACAGAGUUCGAAGUUAUAGAUAACGAGUCAUCUUCUUGACUUGACAAAGUCCCCUUGCCUCUUUCUCUACGAGUAUAGUCCUUCCCUAUGGCACCAAUUUCUGGUCCUGCCCACCUACUGUCAUGGUCCUUAUCCUGUGUUGCAUGCGUGAAGUUUGCCUCACUAGUGAAUGGGCUAAUAAAUCCGGGAGGUGGUCCAACAUAGUUUCCAUAUCCACCACUACCUCCAGCUCCACUAUAUCCUUCAACAUUCCCACCUCCGGUGGUAGGUGAGUCUCCUGAUCUUGUACUAGAGCUAUCAUUAGUAUCAGCAGGAUCUUGUGGUUGUGUAGGAUUGGAAGAAGGUGGAAUUCCAGUGUUUCUUGGUCUUCGGCGCAAUAGUUCUUCCAAAGAGUCAGCGCUUGUAGAUCCCACCUCCUCCUCUAAUACUCUUUCUACAUUUAUCCCUUCAUUAUGUGCUUCUUCAACAACUCUUAGAGCUGGGUUGCCUUUAUCAUCAUCUAAAUGAAGAGGUCUAAUCCAUUGAUAAAGUUGGUUACCCUAUGCAUCAUCAUCUUCAGCAACAAUAUUAAACACAUCUAGUGGGUCACCACGGUCGACAUGAUCUAUUUCUGCUUCCUUAUCUCGAAUUUGAAGCUUCAUGUUGUAGUAGCAAUAAACUAUUUUUUCCAACCUACUAUGAGCUAACCUAUAUACCUUAAUUAGAAAUGGCCAAAAAAAAAAAAAAAAAUUAAAACAGGACCAAAAAAAAAAAAAAAAAAAAAAUCUAUUGGAAAAAGAUUUAAGAACAAAAACAUAAAUUAUAUACCUCACCUAGAAAGGGCUUGCAAACUGGAAAACAACCAAAACAAUCCAAAAUGCCUUUUGAGAUGAUUGAAUCGAAAUCGAAACGAACAGACAGACGAAGAGAUGGAGAGAGCAAUCAAAAGGAAAAGAGACGGAACAAAAUGGAAGACAUUUCCAGUAGCUUCAAAAAGCAGGGUGAAUAUAUUGAAGACCAAACCUCACGAUCACUUACACGUGGGUUGGAUAUUUUAAAAGCAGGUUUGGAUUUUUUUUUUCUUCGCUCGGAAAACACACACAUAUUGACACAUGGGCUGGAUAUUUUGAAAGCAGGUUCGGAUUUUUUUUUCUUCUCUUGGAUAACACACACACACACACGCACGCACACAUGCACAGACUACUUCCUUCUCCCUUAUUCCUCUCCUCAUUCAUCUCCGGUUCUCCCCCCAUCUCUUCUCUUCAAGUCUUAUUCCCAGAGCAGACAGACACACACACACCCUACUUUCCCGUGUUUCCCCCUUCCCUAAUCCCUCGAACCUUAUCCCUCAUUUAUGUCCUUGUUUCUUCUCCCCCGGAGCAUAGACCACCACACCCACACCCGCCGAGCACCACAAUGGCGAACACUCCGACGAGCACCAUCACCACCUGUGGAACGUUCCUCAUCCCUUUCUCACCUCCCGACGACCACCAUUAGGCAAGGGGAUCCAUCAAACGGUUUGAUUCAAACCCGAGCAGGUUUUGGGAUCCGGAGAAAAUGGAUUUUUCAUUUACUAUGACGGAGGCGCAUAUCUUGGGUCUGAGCCCGGAUUGUAGUGAGAGAUCUGGGCCGACGCAGCCUCGGCUGCCUUUUCGACGACAGAGCCACGACGAUUGUUUCGAUAAUAUCGAAUAUAUCGCGAUAUUAUUGAUAUUAUCGAUAAUAUCGCGAUAUUUUGACGACAAUUAGAGGGAUACGUGGGAAAAUAUCGGUCUUUCUGAAACGAUAAUAUCGGCAAUAUUUUGCCGAUAUUAUCGAUAUUUUAGUCAUUGGUUUGAACUCCUCCCUUUUAUCUCUGACCCAACAAUAUCUAUUUAGGAGAUCGAAAAUUUGGUGCCAAGUUGUGUGAUAAUAAUAAGAUAAGAGUAUUAGUAAUAAAUAUCAAACUCGUCAUUCAUUUAUAAUAUUUUAAUAAUUUAAUAUUGAAUUUGUCGUUCAUUUAUAAUAUUUCACUUCCACAUGAAGAUAAAGUACUACUCGAAGCCCGAUCCAUUUUCUGUGAGCGGAGGCCACCUUGUUUUGUGUGCCAUGGUCUGCCUCAUUCUGCCUAAGCUUAGUCAUCCUCGUUCUGCAUGCGUCGAGACUGCUUAACACCCAACAUUUUUUACAAAAAUGCACAUUUUUUAUUAUUGGAAAAUAUUUUUCUUGAGUAUUAAGUUAAACUUUUUAAGGAAUUUGGAAGCAAUUUUACGACUUAUUGAACAAAAAAUGUAUAUUUAGUAGAAUAUUUGAGCCGAGAACUAAAAAGAUAAGCAAAAAACAUAGUAGUGAGUCCCAUAACAUUGUCAAAUGGGGUUUGACACUCAAGAAUCUCAACGGAAAGCCUCAUCUUAAUUUUCAAAACUUCACAGUGAAUCGAAGGUGAAAAUAAAUAGAUUGAACGGUAAUUUAUGUACGAAUUUGCAAAACUGACUGAAAACCGUGAGUGUUAACCCAUAUUUUUUUGUAAAAAAUGCAAAUAUUUUAUUUUGUCCAAAUAUUUUCCGUGAGCAUUAAAGCAAUUUGUAUAAUGUAUUUGGAAGUGGAUUUACGAUUUAUUUAGCAACACGUGUAUAUUUAAUAGAAUAUUUAAGCCGAAAAGUAAAAAAAAUAAGUGAACAACAUAGAGACGUUAAAAUGUAUAUUUUAUUAUUAUUAUUAUUUUUGUUAUAAAAUUAGAAAUGUUAAAAUCACUUGUAGGUGAGGCUUAAAAUAAAAAUAGCAAAAUUUUGUUUUGUUAAAUAGUCUUUCACCCUUUUUUGGUUAACAAAGAGGGUUCUAUUAAUAUGUAGUUUAGAUUUUGAUGAAAGAAAAAAUUAACAAAAAGAAAAAUCUGGUUCAAAUAUCGUUAAAUUUAGGUCUUAAAUGGUUGAUUACAAGUGUUCAAAUACGAAUUAUAAUAAAUUUUGCAUGGAAAAAUAUAUUUUGAAGGGCAUGAAUAUAAUAGUUUGUUGUAGUGGUAAGAGAAAUAAAAGAAAAUUGUACAAAAAUGAUUGAAAUUCUUGGGGGUGGCAGAAAGUCACGCCUGCUUUCUGGCACCCGGGGAAUUUCAAUGAUGUUUGUUAAUUUUUCUUUCAGUUCUCUUACCACUACGACAAACUAUCACAUUCAUGUUCUUCAAAAUAUAUUUUUCUGUGCAUGGAGCCUGACUCAUUUUUUGAGCGCCCAGGAGUUCGCCUCAUUCUGCGUGCGUGGAGCCCACCUCGUCUUGUGUGCCUGGGUUCGCCUCAUUCGGCAUAUGAGGUGUUCGCAUCGUUUUGUGUGUCAGAAACCCGUCCUUUUUUUUGUCCAUAGAGCCUGCGUCGUUUUGACAUGCACGGAGCUAACCUCGUUUUCGUGCGCAGGACUGGCCUAGAUUUGUGCGACGUAUCCCUCCUCGUUUCUCAUGCGCAGAGCUCGCCUCAAUGUGCUUGCCGGGAAGCCCGCUCUGUUUUCUUGAGCGCAACCCGCCUUGUUUUGCUUGCCAAUAUUCGCCUCGUUCUGCAUGUGUCGAGCCCGCCUAACAUCCUACUUUUUGACAAAAAUGCAAAUUUUUUAUUUUCGCAAAAUAUUUUUUUUGAGCAUUAAGUUAAACUUUUAAGGAAUUUGAAAGCAAUUUACGACUUAUUGAGCGACAAAUGUAUAUUAAUAGAACAUUUGAGCCGAGAACUAAAAAAAUAAGCGAAAAACAUAGUAAUGAGUUCCAGAACAUUGUAAAAUGGGGAUAGACACUCAAGAAUCUCAAUGGAAAGCCUUGCCUUAAUUUCCAAAACUUCACAGUGAGGUGAAGGUGAAAAUAAAUAGAUUGUACGAUGAUUUAUGUAUGAAUUUGCAAAACCAACUGAAAACCAUGAGUGCUAAUCCACGUUUUCCAAAUAUUUUUUGUGAGCAUUAAAGAAAUCUUUAUAAUGUAUUUAGAAGCGGAUUUACGAUUUAUCGAGUAAUAAGUGGAUAUUUAGUAAAAUAUUUAAGCCGAAAAGUAAAAAAAAUAAGUUAACAACAUAGAGAUGUCAAAAUGUGCGUGUGUAUAUAUAUAUUAGAGAUGUUAAAAUCACAUGUAGGUGAGGCUUAAACAAAAAAUAGCAAAAAUUUGUUUUGUUAAAUAGUCUUUCACCCGCUUUUGGUUGAUAAAGAGGAUUCUAUUAAUAUGUAGUUUAGAUUUUGAAAAGAGAAAAAAUUAACAAAAAGAAAAAUCAGGUUCAAAUAUUGUUAAAUUGAGGUCUUAAAAGGUUGAUUACAAGUGUUUAAAUAUGAAUUAUAAUAGAUUUUGCAUGAAAAAAUAUAUUUUGAAGGGCUUGAAUAUGAUAGUUUAUUGUAAUGGUAAGAGAAAUGAAAACAAUAAUACAAAAAUGAUUGAAAUUCUUGGGGUGGCAGAAAGUCACUUGACUUUCUGGCACCCCAGGAAUUUCAAUCAUGUUUGUUAAUUUUUCUUUAAGUUCUCUUACCACUACAACAAACUAUCACUAGUGUUUAAAUACGAAUUAUAAUAGAUUUUGCACGAAAAAGUAUAUUUUAAAGGCCAUGAAUAUGAUAGUUUGUUGUAGUGGUAAGACAAAUAAAAGAAAAAUGUACAAAAAUGAUUGAAAUACUUGGGGUGGUAGAAAGUAGUUUCAAAAUAUAUUUUUCUGUGUGUGGAGCCCGACUCGUUUUCUGAACAGCCGAGAGUUCACCUCGUUUUGCAUGCACAAAGCCCACCUCAUCUUGUGUGCCUGGGUUCGCCUCGUUCUGCAUGUGAGGUGUCUGCAUCAUUUUGCAUAUCAGAAGCCCGUCCCUUUUUUUGUCCACGGAGCAUGCACCGUUUUGACUUGCACGAAGCCAGCCUCGUUUUUCGUGUGCAGGGGUGGCCUAGAUUUGUGUGUAGUAUCCCUUCUCGUUUCUCAUGCGCGGAACUCACCUUGUUUUGCUUGCCUGGAGGCCCACCAAGUUUUCUUAAGCGCAGCCUGCUUUGUUUUGCAUGCCAAGAUUCAUCACGUUCUGUGUGAGUUGAGUCCGCCUCGUUUUGCCACUACAAGAAAACAUGGAAUAGGUGACCAAAUUUUAUGUGGCGCCCAAAAAUUCUUCACAUAUUUUUUCUAUAUGUGAUGCAUUGUUCAGAGCGUCACGCAUGACUAGUUUUUUAGGUAUGAAAUUUGAGAACAUUUAGGUGAUGAUAAAUACAUCACAUAUUCUAGAAUGGAGUGACGAAAAUCAUAAGCGUCACUUAAAAAUUAUUUUUUAUCUUUUAAGAUUAAAAAGUGGUGACACAAAUUUUAUGAAGUGCUUACUAAAAUAUAUGGCAAGGAACAAUGGCACCCUAAAGAAGUGUGAUAUGUCAGGAAUUUCAAAAAGGUCACAUAUGUGUAUUCUCGGUGACGAAAGUGAUUCAUCACUCUUUCAACAGUAAAUAAAAAAAGAAAAAAAAAAGAAACAUAGUAAAGUAUUAAACAAAUUUGAUAAAGCCCAUCUAAAUUCUAAACUGUUCUCACUCACUUUCCCUUUCUCUAUGUCUCAGACUUCUCCCGUCUCUUGUCCCUGUGACCCAAGCCACCGACGCGUCUCCUAAUCUUCUUCUCUCUAUACCGCGACAUUACCGGUAUCUUUUAAGUUAAACGCUCAAACCCUUUCUCAUCUAUUCGCUGUCUAUCACACUCCACAACCAAAAACCCUAGAGACCAAUUCAACCAACAAGCCAAAUCCACACCAUGUCACGUCUCAACCUUCUUCCAGUUUCUUGCUCCACCACCGAAAACCCAAGAACCCUAACCCUUUCAACCAACUACAUAAAUCUAUGCCAAAUUUCUCCAUGCCUACGAGACUACUAUGUGGCCAAAUGGUUAACGAAUUCAAUUUUUAUCAUUCUUUUUAAGUUAGGGUUUUGGAUAUGCAGGUAAUUGCCUCCAAAUUGAGCACGCCAACAGCCGUCGACCUCUACAUCCAUCUUUCAAGGACUCUAAUUGGGUAAAAUUUGGUUUUUAAUUUUUAGAUUUAUAUAUAAAUAUUAUAUAUCUCCCUCCCGCCUGUCUGCUUUCCGUCACCGUCGAAGUGCCCGGACAUUCAAGCUCUAGAAUCCCCAAUACAUGGAGCUUUUCUGCAUUUCGUUCGCCAAACUUUGGGUAUGUUCUCAAUCUCUAGACCCUAUCCUUUUCCCUUUAACUUUUUGUUUAGUCUCAACUUUAUGGUGUUUUUCUUAUAUUUGUUCUAUCACUGUAAUUUUAAGUUAUUUUAGGUAAUGAAUUUGGUUGAGAAUCUUAGUUAGGUUUGUAAUUUUUUUCUAGUUGCCUGGGUUUGAGGAUGAUUAAUCCACUUUCUAAAUUUUAAUUACUUUGAACUUUGAUUAUUAGGAAACUGCAAUUUCAAAAUUCCAGACAUGAUUAUAUCUCCAUAAUUUCGAUGACAGACUGUUCUAAAAAAGAUUCAUAUGUACUGCCUGAUUAGAUUAUUAGAUUAUUUGUCCUGAAUCCUAAGGUAGAUCUAUAAAUGUUGACAUUUUGCUUAAACGGAAUAGUUUCCACCUCAUUGCUUCAAUCAUGUUUUGUGUCCUUAAAUCCAAGAAAGCUGACUAAACUAAAAUAAACUCUCCCAGUCAUUUAGCUUGGGUGGUGAGAUGAGGACUGAAGGAAUUUUGGUCAGUUUUUGGUCCACCAAUUUUAAAACAGCCACAUAGCCCCAAGAAAAUAGACAACAACUGAUUUCCAGCAAGCUGCCCUUUUCACAUCCAAACUUGUUUUCCCACUUUACAAAUAUUCCUUCGAACUUUAAUUUGUUGUACGGAACCCCUCACACAUUUUGUUCGACAAGCUAGUAUAUUUGCCUCUCAUCAUUUCUAUCCCAUCAUAAUUAUAAACGUUUAAACUAGCUUGAAUAGGGAAAAAGGGAAAAAGAAACACUUAAAGAUCUCUAAUAUUGACAAAGGAUAUGAAUAUAAUCUUUUUAAUUUCAAGCUUGAUAACACAAGUCACUUAAAGUAACUUAUAACUUUCAAGUGCUUGGUAAUGGCGAAUUUUUAUUUUAAAGUAUGUUAUUGUUUAUGCUAAAUGUAAUAUAAGCUUUUUAAAUAAUUGAGUUUGCAUAUCUGGUAUUUUUUAUUUUGAGUUGGGUUUAGUGGAGGCCAUUUGGACUAAGUUGGGAAUGCUCAUUUUCUGGUUUCUGAAUUCCUGAAUGAGAUCAUCAAUUUGAGCAGCUUUCCUUUUCUACUACACUGUGAUGGCAUGCCUAUUCACACGAGAACAAUGUAAAGCUGUGAUCAACUAUUGAAAGUUCCUUCAUCAUUAACUGGUUAGAUUAUAAUCCCAGCCUCUGGAGAUAUGUUUAGCAAUGGCACACAUUCAGUUUGGUGAUUUGGAUAUAUUUUUCACUAGCAUGUUUAGAGGGCCUUUAUUUAUCUUCUACAAAAGAGCACUUGUAUAGAAAGAGCUUGAGAGGCAAACACCGCCUGCCCUAUGAGAAGAAGCGCAAGGCAGGCUCACAAGGUAAUGAAAUUAAAGCACAUAUAAAACUCAUUAUGUAAUUUAGAUAGGCUCAUCUGUUAUGUUUCGUUCUUCUUAAUGUAAUUGUUUCUUCAAUUCUUAUUUUCUUCUCUUUUGUUAAUGUUAUUCAAUUGCUCAAUGCACCUACUAUUGUCUAGACAAACAUACACCUAUGUUUUCUUCUCUUUUUUUUAUGUAAGGAUAAGAUGAAGAAAAAGAAGGAUCAAAUUAAAGGUGAAAGCAUUCAAGAAGCACCUGAGGUAGUGAUGGUGAUCUUUCAAAUGACAAUGAUACUUGUGCUAAACUGAAGACCAUGAUAUGGUUGAUGACUUAUGUAUUUUGUUGUUGGUUUUAAAUAUGCACAUGGUAUACCUAUUUUAUUAUCGACUCAAUGGCUUAGAAUCUUGUUAGCAUUUCAAUAUGUCUAGAGGUGUUAGGAUGCUUAUGUUAGCUUUUGGGAUACUUGGUGUAUGUACUGGAUGUUACCUAACUUAUUGAUCAAUGAAAUGUGAUUAAACAAAGUAUUACCUCAUAUUUGUUAUGAAUGUUAAUUCUAGAUGACGAAGCGGGGUUCGAAUUGUUCCUAAUAGGUAUAUGAAUUUGACACAUGUGACACAAAUUGCGCCACAUGCCAAAGGAAUAUGUGACACUUUCAAUUUCACUUAUCCUUAGCCAUAGCAUUUUACGAUCAGAUUGCGUGAUGAUAAAUUCCUUACUUAUACAUUUGUUAUGUGACGAACUUAUAGGUCACUAACUUUUGUCUUUUGUGACGCUUAUUUCGUCACACGUAAAGUUAUUAAGUGACAAAUGCGGCGUCACUAAUACUUAAAAAAUGUGGUGAGUGAAAAAAUUUGUCACGAAACUAUAGGUGACGUAUAUGUGACAAACAUAGUGACGCUGGAUUUUCGUCAUAUAUAAUCAAAUGUGACAAAUUUUCAUGUUUAUGUGACGAAUGUGUGUCGCCACCUAAGUCAUGUUUUCUUGUAGUGUGUGCGUCGAUCGUCUAACCCCAUGUUUUUUUGACAAAAAUGCACAUUUUUUAUUUUCACAAAAUAUUUUUCCUGAGCAUUAAGUUAAAUUUUUUAAGAAAUUUGGAAGCAGUUUUACGGCUAAUUGAGCGACAAAUGUAUAUUUAGUAGAAUAUUUGAGCCGAGAACUAAAAAAAUAAGCGAAAAACAUAGUAGUGAGUCCUAGAACAAUGUCAAAUGGGGUUAGACACUCAAGAAUCUCAACGGAAAGUCUCACCUUAAUUUCCAAAACUUCAUAGUGAGGCGAAGGUGAAAAUAAAUAGAUUGAACGGUGAUUUAUGUAUGAAUUUGCCAAAUCGAUUGAAAACCGUGAGUGUUAAUCCACGUUUUCCAAAUAUUUUCCGUGAGCAUUAAAUAAAUCUUUAUAAUGUAUUUGGAAGCGGAUUUACGAUUUAUCGAGCAACAAGUGUAUAUUUAGUAAAAUAUUUAAGCCAAAAAGUAAAAAAAAAUAAGUGAACAAAUUAGACAAAAAAUAGCAAAAUUUUGUUUUGUUAAAUAGUCUUUUACUCUCUUUUGGUUGACAAAGAGGGUUCUAUUAAUAUGUAGUUUAGAUUUUGAUAAAAGAAAAAAUUAACAAAAAGAAAAAUUAGGUUCAAAUAUCGUUAAAUUAAGGUCUUAUAUUGUUGAUUACAAGUGUUUAAAUACGAGUUGUAAUAGAUUUUGCACGGAAAAAUAUAUUUUGAAGGGCUUGAAUAUGAUAGUUUAUUGUAGUGGUAAGAGAAAUAAAAGAAAAUUGUAGAAAAAUGGUUGAAAUUCUUGGGGGUGGCAAAAAGUCACGCCUGAUUUUGUGGCUCGUGACUUUCUGACACCCAUGAAUUUCAAUCAUGUUUGUUAAUUUUUCUUUCAGUUCUCUUACCACUACGACAAACUAUCACAUUCAUGUUCUUCAAUAUAUAUUUUUCUGUGCGUGGAGUCCGACUCGUUUUCUCAACACCCAGGAGUUCGCCUCGUUUUACGUGUGCGGAGCCCACAUUGUCUUGUGUGCCUGGGUUCACAUCGUUUUACAUGCAAGAAGCCCGUCCCUUUUUUUGUGCAUGGAGCUUGUGCUGUUUUGACGUGCACGGAGCCAGUCUCGUUUUCCACGCGCAGGGUAGGCCUAGACUUGUGCAACGUAUCCCUCCUCGUUUCUUAUGUGCGGAGCUCGUCUUGUUUUGCAUACUGGAAGCCCAUCCCGUUUUCUUGAGCCCAACCCGUCUUGUUUUGCAUGUCAAGAUUCACCUCGUUUUACGUGAGCUGAGUCGGCCUCAUUUUGCUCAUUUUGUGUGAGUCGAUCCCUCCUAAAACCCUGCUUUUUGACAAAAUGCAAAACUUCACAGUGGGGCAACUUACCAGUGCGGCAACUUAACUUCCAAAACUUCACAGUGGGGCAACUUAACAACUAAGACAACUCUUCCGAAUGUUUAGCGCUUCUUCUAGUGCCAAUUUUGACUUGACUGGCAGCACUUCUAAAAAACUUGACGAGCAAAGGGAAAUCAGAGAACUUCUUCACAACUUUGAUCCUCCAAUGUCUAUAUCAACUAGACGACAACGUCGACAAGCAUUUAAAGAAAAACUGCAACAAGGAAUUCUACGUCCUGGUGAUACUGAUGUCUCAUUCGAAAGUUUUCCAUAUUACCUAAGGUGCAGCAAUUUGCUUUUUAUUUUUAUUUUAUUUAUUGUGCAUUAGAUCAUCAUAUGAUACUGAACUAGCUUCCCUUAUUGUGAUUGGUCCAUAUGUAGUUGGACUCUUAUUGGUCAAUUCUGAGCUCAGACCUUUCCUCAUUUUGCAUUUUUACAGUGAUACAACAAAGAAGGUUUUGAUUGCAUCCACCCUCCCGAAUUUGAGGUGUAGCAAGUUUGGAAAAUAUUUUUCAUCACUACCUACCGGGAGCCCGCGCAUAUUGUUAUCUGGUCCAGCAGGUACUUCUGCCAUUUUAAUUUCUACACAUAGGCUUGUAAUUCUGUGGUUGAUGAUGCUUGUAAAUUCUGAAGUUUGAUAUUUUCUUUUUCUUUCCGUGUUAAUUCAUUAUGUUUUUAUUUUAACAAUUCUUUUGUAGGUUCUGAGAUAUAUCAGGAAACCUUGGCAAAGGCACUCGCGAAACAUUUUGAUGCUAGAUUACUAAUUGUAGAUUCUCUUCUCCGGCAUGGUGUAUGUUCCUUCGUGUUGCUUUUUUAACUAGAAUCUUGUUUGCUUACAAGCAUAUAUUGGAGUUCUGUUGUUGUUGAUCUACUUUUUUUCUAGCAGUUUUCUUCGUCAUUCCAGGAAUUCAAGUUUAGAAUUGUGGAUUUUUCUUUUAAAUAUUUCUUGGAAUAUACUUCUUAAUAGGUUGAUGAAAGUGUUUCCACUCAUGCAAUGCGUGAACUUCUUGAGGUACUCAUCUCCUUGUGUGGUUCUGGAGGUGAUGAUAUUGGCAAUCUUGCAAUCGGUGAACUUCUUGAGGUACUCAUCUCCUUUACACUAACAGGAGCUCAUUUAACUGUACCAAUAUAGUUGCUGUUAAUUUGGUAUUAAUAUCUGCACCAAUGUUGUGCAGGUGGCAACCAAUAUCUGCACCAAUGUUGUGCAGGCGGCAACCAAUGAGAGUAAAAGUCUUCCUUUGAUAGUGUUUUUGAAAGAUAUAGAAUCGGUUAUGGUAGGUAACCCAGAUGCAUAUAGUGUCUUGAAGAGUAAGCUUGAAAACUUGCCAGAGAAUGUUGUUGUGAUCGGCUCUCAUACCCAGUUGGACAAUCGCAAGGACAAGGUAAGAGGCUGAGGAUUUUAUCAGUUAGCUGAUUUUGAACUCACUAUUGUAGUUUGACAUUAACAGCUUUGCUUGAUCUCGCUUUUCCGGUAUGUGAAUUUCCAUUAUCUUUUCCAUUUUAUUUUUCUUGGUGGCAUGUAAUGCUAAUGCAAGUUUUAACUACUCAUAUCAGCAUCUGUAAUCAUGCUGAUUCUGAUUUAGAUUUGUAGACCUUGACAACUGUGCAAAGUGCAUUACUUUCUUUGCCUUUGAUGAGUGAGAGCGAGUCUUGAGUUUUUACUCUCUAACUAAAUUUUUAUCUGAUUAAUUUAAUUCUCAAUUUGCUUUCUGUUCGAUUUACAUUCAACUCGGUCUCACUUUCUCUUGCAAAUGUACACAAAUUCCUCAAGGUCAAUUGAAACAGUCUGAUGAGGGGGCUUUGUUCACAUUGAAAUAUAAAAUUCAACAAUACUUUGCCCUCUUUUUCGUAGAUGAUGAUACUUUUCUUCUGAAAAACCAAGAUGACACAUUUAUUGGUGGUGUUCAGGAUAACCUUGGGGGUAGGCUGCAUGACAGGAGCAAAGAAACUCCUAAAACUAUGAAGCAAGUUCAACUCUCUCGGAUUUUCCCCAACAAAGUGACCAUGCCCCAGGUAGUCAGCCUUUUUUCUUAUAUGGUCAUUGUGCUUAGGGUGGUUCGGUAUGGGAUCCCAUACCGAAACCCUUGUCCCGAUUCCCAUACCGAAAUUUUCGGGAAUCCCAAUUUCAAUACCGAUCCCAAACCAAAUUUUCGGGAAUCCCAAUUUUCGGGAAUCCCGAAAUAGUUUCGGGAUUUCGGGACAAAUCGGGAAUCCCAAAAAUAAUUUUAGGCUUUUGGACUUUUGGGCUUUUGGACAAAAAAAGCUAAUAUUGGUCCAAUUGGACAAAAACCUAAUAUUGGGCCUGCCCACUGAAUGUAACAGCCCCCACAUAUGGGCUUAACUUUUAUUCAACCAAAUAAAAAAAAUAUUGGGCAAACCUGCAAUGUUUAUAAGAGCAGAACGAACAUUAGCAGUUCAGCUGCAUUUUCCACUUGUAUUGUAGCCAAGGUUUUAAAAUAAAUAAAGUAACAAACCCAAAAGCAAAAAAAUUAGUUACAAUCCAAAGUUUUAAUAAUUAAGUUACAAACCAAAAGCAAAAAAACAAAGUUUCAAGUUUAUGAAGAUUGUUGACAUCUUCGGCCCCUUCUUGUUGGCACUUGUAAUUUUCCCCUUGAUGUUGAUGGUUGAGCCCUUCCCCUUACAAUGGGUGGUCGUGGUCGUGAAGGUAGUGAUUGAUUUUGACGUUGUUGAACUUGUACUUGAGGUGGUCGAGGAGGUGGAGGUGGCAUUUCAUUUUCUUGUGUUGUAUUCUCCUCACCUCCCAAAUUAGCCAUGUCUAAAACAAUAAACCACAAAUCAUUUACAUUGAAUUAUAGUCUAAUAGAUAAUAAAUACUAAGAAAAUAAAAGAUGAAAUUAAAUUGUUUACUUACUUCUUUCUAAGCGUUCAAGCUCCUCGUAGAAACAUAAUUCGUCAAGGGUAGGCUCCUUGUCUCACUACUUCUACUUCUGCUACUUCCUUUUCCCCCUCUUCCCCCUCUUCCCCCUCUUCUUCUAUUUGUUCUAAUGCAAUAUCCUCCUCCACAUCCAGAUCAUCAUCCCAACAAUCUUCAUAAUAAUCAUUAUGCAAAUAAUCUUGAGGUGAGGGAGUGCCUAGUUGAAGGGUACCACUAAGUUGGGUUUGUUUUCGUUUUCCUAAUACCAAGACCAUAUGUGUACUAGAUUGGCUACUAGAUCCGUCCAUCCUAACAAAUAAAAUAACAAUGUACAUUAAUAUAUCACAACCACAGUUCAGCAUAGUGUGUACAUUAAUAUAUCACAACCACAGUUCAGCAUAGUGUGUACAUUAAUAUAUAACAAUGUACAUUAAUAACAAUGUACAAUCAAAGUAAAAUCUGACCCAAUAUAUACAUCCUAUGAUAACAUUAACUUGUUACUUGUUUAAAUUAUGUAAUGGGAUUUUAAAAUGGUUAAUGGCAUGCGAUUCAUCACAAAUGAAGUAAGGAAAAUAAUGUGCACAUAUUCAGCAAGCUGAUCACAAGUAAAACAGAUAUAAAUAAAAGACAUCACCAUAAACCUACCUCUUCAUGAAUUUUUGUAAUUUCACGAGCUAGGACGCAUUUUCUGAAACACAAUUACAAACUCACCAAAUCAGUUUUUUGUAAAACCACUAAGUCAGUAAAAGCGCAUAAAUCCAUACAUGGAAGUUUAAUUUGUAACUCACCAUAACAAAAACUAAUAUAUAAUCAUUUUUUUCUUAAGUCAGUAAAGCUUUUAUUGAAGUUGGUAUUUUUUCUUAAUACCUUUAUUAAAAUUGAUUUUUAAUCUGAAGCCUUAAAAGUAUUUACCUUGAAACACCAAAAACUGAAGAAGUCUCUUCAAGAAACUGUUGAAGUUUGUGGGGAGGCACAUAGAAUAUUUGGGUCGUCCCCUCAUUUGCUGAAACCGUCAACCUCUCUCUUCUAGAUCCAACAUGUUUAGAGAGAAAUCCAACUGCAGAAGUAUACUCAGUUUCAGAGUUCUAUAUACAUCUUAUCCACCAAGAAGAAUAUCUGCAGCAUCAUUUCCAUGGAAAACUUACCAAACGUAAACUCAUCCGUGGAGAGGCCAGAUGCAGAGAGAGCAGCCACAAAAGCAGACGGCCCAGGUAUAGGAAUAACAGGGAUGUUUUCAUCCACGCACAGCUUUGCCUGCAAUAAAACUUGAGAGAGAUCCAAUUGCAGAAGUAUACUCGAGAGAGAUCCCCAGUUCUGUGACCUGUCCUGUCCUGUCCGUGAAAGACAAUCGCCCUAGAGAGAGAGAGAGCAGUGGUUGUGUGGUGAAGGAAGGCUGGAGAGUCAGAGACGAGAGUAUGGUGUGGUGGUGGGUCGGUUGCUGGUUGGAAUUCGACAGUAUGGUGAGGGACGACGUUGGUGAGGGUCGGAGGCUCACGGCUGCGCUUCGAAACAAAUGAACGGAGGAAUACAAAAGUGAAAUGUUAUCAUCUGACCUAAAAACAAAUCGACGGCACAGAUUAAAUCCAAAACAAUCAACGGUUGAAAUAAUUCUCUUAUAAUUAAAAAAUUAUAUAUAUAUAUAUAUAUAUAUUUUGGUUCGGUAUGGGAAUACCGAAAAAAUGAAAUGCAAUACCGAAUCCCAUACCGAAAAUUUCGGUUUGGUUUGGGAUUACAUCCCGAAACUUUCGGGAAUUUUGGUUUGGGAUUAUUUUGGUUUGGGAUCGGGAUUUUUUUGGUUUGGUUUGGGAUUUUUGGGAUUUUUUUCCAGCCUACUUGUUAUUGCUUGCAUGAGGUAAUAUUUGUCGGCUAUCCUGGCAGGAUGAGGCUUUACUUUCGGACUGGAAGCAGCAGUUUGAACGUGAUGUUGAAACUUUGAAAUCGAAGUUUUAUAUUGUUGCCAUUCACUCAGUAAGUACAUCUGAUCACAUCUACUUUUUGCUCUUAUUGUUCUUUCCCUUAAAUACGCCUCUCAUGUAUACUGUUCUUACACCUUCUUGCGCACUUAUUGAAACACAAGGAUGUGAAGAUUGUGCACAUGUGCUUGCUAAUGCUAACCGUGAUUCAUUUCCCUGUUGACAUUUUUAGUUAGCAGUUUAGUGGCUAAUGUAGUGUGUUUAGUGCUUUCGAUGCUAUUCCUGUAUAUUUUCUCGUAAGGCUGAUGUUUUCAGGUUCUUAACCGAGUUUCUGUGGAUUGCCCUGACCUUGAAAGUCUGUGCAUUAAAGAUCUAGUGCUUACAACUGAAAGUGCGUUUUCUUGAACUCAAAGUUUGUAGUGCAGAACAUUUUGCAGGGAAUAUUGACCUUAAUAUUCACUUAUGCGAUUCAUUGUAUAAUCCUUUCUUCAACAGGUGUUGACAAAGUAGUAGGCUGGGCUGUUAGUCACCAUCUUAUGCAUUGUUCAGACGCUUUAGUUAAAGAUGACAAACUUGUUAUUUCUACUGAAAGGUUGUACAAUUUCUUAGGACAGUGUAGUUUAAAUAUACCGUAUAUUCUGUUUUCUUAUCAUAUUUUAUGGUUCUGCGCUACAGUCUUAGGGAUGGACUAAACAUUCUACAAGGCAUUCAAAACGAAAACAAGAGCAUAAAGAAAUCACUUAAGGUAAGUUGAUAUUGUGGGGAAGUACCACAAAUGCCUUGUUUCGAGCUCUCUGAAGAUGAAAUGUAAAUUAGAUUUUCCAUAAUCAGGAAAGUAAGUGUAUAUAUAUUGGAUUUAACUCCAUGAUAUUUCAGGAUGUGGUUACUGGAAAUGAAUUUGAGAAAAAACUUCUUGCUGAUGUUAUUCCACCGAGCGAUAUUGGGGUUAGUUUUGAUGACAUCGGGGCCUUGGAAAAUGUGAAGGACACCCUAAAGGAGUUGGUGAUGCUUCCACUUCAGAGGCCUGAAUUAUUUACCAAGGGACAGUUGAAUAAGGUAGAAACAUGGCACUCUUUUCAUUUGUCCCCUUUGGAAAGUGAAACAGUUCUAUGUUGGUGCUUCUUUUCUUUCAUGUUUCUUAUCUGAUUAUCGUCACUUAUUCUACAGCCUUGUAAAGGAAUCUUGCUAUUUGGUCCCCCGGGUACUGGAAAGACUAUGCUUGCGAAGGCUGUUGCAACUGAAGCUGGUGCAAACUUUAUUAACAUAUCAAUGUCAAGUAUUACUUCAGAGGUAUUUUUGCAUUUUAUCGUGGUUGUUGGAACUUGGAUAAACAUUUUGUGACGACUAUUGAAUCCAUAUGACCCCUUUAACUUUUGUUGCAGUGGUUUGGGGAAGGAGAGAAGUACGUUAAAGCGGUGUUCUCCUUAGCUAGUAAAAUUGCCCCUAGUGUUGUUUUUGUUGAUGAGGUUGGUUCAUUACAUUCUAUAUAUUUGCGCUGUCCAGGGAACCUUUUUCUUUAGUUCUCGUUUGGAAAAUGUGAGUUAUACAAAGAGUUUUCUGGAAUAUACCAUGCCAGUUUAUGAGUGUUUGUAGAAUCCUUUUGUUCGUCUUGUUUCACUCAAUUUUAUUCCCGUCCAAUUUGAUUUUUUUAUUGGUACCAUCAUAGGUGGACAGCAUGUUAGGCAGACGUGAAAAUCCUGGGGAACAUGAGGCUAUGCGUAAAAUGAAAAAUGAGUUCAUGGUUAACUGGGAUGGUCUGCGUACAAAGGAUAAAGAACGUGUAUUGGUACUUGCUGCUACUAAUAGGCCUUUUGACCUUGAUGAGGCUGUUAUUAGGAGGCUUCCGAGGAGGUAAAAUCGCAUGUUUGCCUGUUGUUCUGCUACUGCAUCUGUUAUAUGUCAACGCAAGUAUAUUGACUUCCUGCGUACAAAAUUAAUUCUAUGUGCAGAUUGAUGGUGAACUUGCCAGAUGCCCAGAACAGAGAAAAAAUACUGAGAGUUGUAUUGGCCAAAGAAGAUUUGGAAACUGACGUUGAUUUGGAGGCAGUUGCAAAUAUGACAGAUGGGUAUUCCGGAAGUGACUUAAAGGUUGCCUACUAAUUUUUACGAAACCCAUCUAAGCUUUUUACAUACGUAGUUUUAUUUUUGUCGGUUAUAUUCUAUGUAGUUCUAUUUUCUCUUAUGUAAUGGAUUGUCCUGAUUUUUGUUGUGGUUGCAGAAUCUGUGUGUUGCUGCAGCUCACCUCCCCAUUAGGGAAAUUUUAGAGAAGGAGAAAAAGGUUGGUUUGCUGGACAGUGUAACAAAAAUACAAAGCCCUUGUUGAUUUUUUAACUUGAAGUGGUGUGGUUGGUUACUGCAACUAAGUAGUUCUUUCUUCACGUAUCGCAGGAGAGAAGUUUAGCUUUGGCGGAGAACAGACCUGUACCGGAGUUGUACUGCAGCACCGACAUUCGUCCUUUGAAGAUGGAGGACUUCAAACAUGCGCAUGAGCAGGUACGUUGUGACCUAAUAAUACAAUACGGGGUUUUGGCUUCUUGUAGUAUUCUACCGUGGUCGGAAGUGUUCGGUUGCGUUCCGGAUCAUUGGCUGUCUAAUAUUGAAUUCAAUGCAGGUGUAUGCAAGUGUGUCUUCGGAGUCGACAAACAUGAGUGAGCUCCUCCAAUGGAAUGACCUAUACGGCGAAGGCAGAUCAAGAAAGAAGACGUCUCUCAGCUAUUUUAUAUAGUGUUUAAAUACGAAUUAUAAUAGAUUUUGCAUGGAAAAAUAUAUUUUGAAGGCCAUGAAUAUGAUAGUUUGUUGUAGUGGUAAGAGAAAUAAAAAAAAAUAUACAAAAAUGAUUGAAAUGCUUGAGGUGGCAGAAAGUCACUUCAAAAUAUAUUUUUCCGUGCGUGGAGCUCGACUCGUUUUCUGAGCACCCGAGAGUUCACCUCAUUUUGCAUGCACAGAGCCCGCCUCAUCUUGUGUCUGGAUUUGCCUUGUCCUGCAUGUGAGGUGUCCGCAUCGUUUUGCAUAUCAAAUGCUCGUCCCUUUUUUUGUCCACGGAGCAUGCGCCGUUUUGACUUGCACGAAGCUAGCCUCGUUUUUCAUGCGCAGGGCUGGCCUAGAUUUGUGCGACGUAUCCCUCCUCGUUUCUCAUGCGCAGAGCUCAAGUCGUUUUGCAUGCCGGGAAGCCCACCAAGUUUUCUUGAGCGCAACCCCCCUUGUCUUGUGUACCAAGAUUCAUCUCGUUCUGCGUGAGCUGAGUCCGCAUCGUUUUGUGUGCGUCGAUCCUGCCUAACCCCAUGCUUUUUGACAAAAAUGCAAAUUUUUUAUUUUCACAAAAUAUUUUUCCUAAGCAUUAAGUUAAAGUUUUUAAGGAAUUUGGAAGCAGUUUUAGGGCUUAGUGAGCGACAAAUGUAUAUUUAGUAGAAUAUUUGAGCCGAGAACUAAAAAAAUAAGCAAAAAACAUAGUAGUGAGUCCUAGAACAUUGUCAAAUGGGGUUAGACACUCAAGAAUCUCAACGGAAAGCCUCGUCUUAAUUUCCAAAACUUCACAGUGAGGCGAAGGUGAAAAUAAAUAGAUUGAACGGGGAUUUAUGUACGAAUUUGCCAAACCGACUGAAAACAGUGAGUGUUAAUCCACGUUUUCCAAAUAUUUUAUGUGAGCAUUAAAUAAAUCUUUAUAAUGUAUUUGGAAGCGGAUUUACUAUUUAUCGAGCAACAAGUGUAUAUUUAGUAAAAUAUUUAAGCCGAAAAGUAAAAAAAAAAAAAAGUGAACAAAUUAGACAAAAAAUAGUAAAAUUUUGUUUUGUUAAAUAGUCUUUUACUGACAAAGAGGGUUCUAUUAAUAUGUUGACACACCCCGACCUAGAUCGAAGCAUGCUGGCCGUCAUGUGGGAGUGACGUAACCAUGUGCACAGUGCGGAAGCAAUAAAGAUAUUAGGGAAAUGCGAAAGAAUAAAAACCAAACUACUAGCAGUACUAGCUAAGAUAGAGUGCUAGUGCGAGAUUAAAUGUGAAAUACACAACUAGAGCAUAAUAUCCUAGAUGCAGUCAAGUAGGACAAGUACUAAUUGUACAACACCUAAGGGUGAUCCUACAUUUAUGAUGUUUUGUCAGAACCCUUGUCAAAAUCCUCGUGAUCCAGCAAAGCACUUAUACCUAAAACCUGGAGGGGCGCAAAACAAAAAGUGUGAGUGGGCAAAAACAAAGCUUUUCAAAAUCAUUUCAUUUCUCAAAAGUUCUAACCCCUUGCCGUAAAACCUGUAUAAUUUUCCCAGAAAAAUAUAAUAUAUGCUAUAUCAGAAUUCAUGCUCAGGAUGAAAAUCCAUAGAAAUAUAUCAUGCCAAAGUAUCUCAAUGAAAUGCCAUAAGUAAUCUAGUUAAAUAUAUCAGUGCCAGAUAUCAUAACAACUGGAUCUACCUAACUUGACCUGUACGGCUGAGUACAUAGCUCAUAACCAAUCUCAAUCAUAUCAAAUCAAAUCCUGCACACGAGUUGGAACCACCUAAAGUGGUCUGUACGAUAGGAUUAGGUGUAAUAUAAAUAUGCUCUAGUGCUACGAUCACGUGAAGACUGUGCGAAUAAUCGCCGGUCACUUACGAGUCGGAACCACCCAAAGUGGUAUGUACGACAAGCUUGUGCACCUAACUUGGAUCCAAGGUGAGCAUAUGGUGCGGGAGGUGAACAUCACGUGAAUGACUGUGCCCUAACCUUGGACGGGAGCACUAACACCAGGGUGCAAGUUUAUGAGCUCUCAAUACAUCACAUCAUAUCUCACAUAACUGAAGCAAUCACAUAUCUUUAAUUUAUGAACUUACCUGGCACUUACCUGUGCGUCCACAACACUAAUCAUGAAUAUAUGCAACUACUAAUGCAUAAUUAAAAUAGGCAAAUACUUGCAUGGCAUUUCCAAAACGUAAUUUCAUUUAAACACAUUUUCUGGGAAAAAUCUCAAGUAUAUAGGUAUAUACGGAAAACCAAAAGCCCACUCACUGAUAUGUCAAAGGGUAUUAGCCCCCGAGCCUCGAUUGAUGGUGCUCGUCCUCAGGAUAGGUCUCACCUAUAUGCGAAAUAACUUAAUAAAAGUUAUUUAAAGCACAUACAAAAAACUAGGAAAUAACUUCUCAUACAAUGCUCAAAUGGGGUUUUUGAAUAUACCAACGUGAUCUACUCAACACCACGAAUAUCCCCAUAUUUUUAGAAAAAAUUUCCGACCACUCACGUUCCCGCCAAGGCAUGGCUCAACGCGCCUCCAUGUGCGGCCAAACCCUAACCGAAACUUAACUGCCGUUAGGAAUAUUUCGUUAAAACCUUAACAUAAAUUAACGGCGUUACCAGACGCCGUUAGAAUAUUUCGUCAAACUUGACAGAAUAUUCCCUUCUCCUUCCUUGGUUCGCCGGAGUUCGGCACCGGUCGCCGCUGCACUCGCCGAUUUCUAGAAAAAUUUCAAAUCUUCAUAUCUCUUUUGAUUCUCAACCAAAAUUCACAAAAUUUAUACCAAAUUGAAGCUUAGGAUGAGAGGAACAAAACCUUACCACUUUGGGGACCUAAGACCAACGGAAUCUCGCUAGAGAAACCUCGAUAAUCCGACCAAAAAUUGAAACUCGCGAACUGGGACUUCCAAACAUCCAAAACACUCCAACUUUCUUUCCCAAGCUUCGUGAAGAUGUUUUAAGGCUUCCUAUAACCUUAAAACUCCUUGAAAACUUCGAAAUCAUGAGUGCAUGAACAGUAACCCAAAACUGGGUUCUCGGGAAAAUGAGGCCUUCACAUCCAAAUAAUAGUAUCAAUGGAUUCCUGGGCUCUCAAGGAACUUGAAUAUGGUCUCCAAAGGUUCGAUCUGAGGAUGAAAGUGAAGGUUCAAGGUUUGUCCGUACAAUUGUACGGAAAUGGAAGAAAAUGCGAGAGGGAGGAGAGAGAGUCAACAGGAUAGGGUGAGGGUAUGUGUGUGUGGUCCAGAUUGGUCCCCAACCAAAGACAAAUAAACUUAAAAAAAUCUAAUUGGGUCCAAUCUAUUAGGAAAUGAACUUAAUUGGUCCAAAAACUUAGCUUAAAUCACAACCACAACCCAACGCUCAAUGGCAUUUUAGACUUUUCACACCGCCGAUAAAAAAUAUUUCGGGACGGGCUGUGACAUAUGUAGUUUAGAUUUUGAUAAAAGAAAAAAUUAACAAAAAGAAAAAUCAAGUUCAAAUAUCGUUAAAUUAAGGUCUUAAAUUGUUGAUUACAAGUGUUUAAAUACGAAUUAUAAUAGAUUUUAAACGGAAAAAUAUCUUUUGAAGGGCAUGAAUAUGAUAGUUUGUUGUAGUGGUAAGAGAAAUAAAAGAAAAUGUAGAAAAAUGGUUGAAAUUCUCGGGGGGUGGCAGAAAGUCACACCUGACUUUGUGGCUCGUGACUUUCUGGCACCCAGGAAUUUCAAUCAUGUUUGUUAAUUUUUCUUUCAGUUAUCUUACCACUACGACAAACUAUCACAUUCAUGUUCUUCAAUAUAUAUUUUGCCAUGCGUGGAGUCCGACUCGUUUUCUGAGCACCCAGGAGUUCGCCUCGUUCUAAAUGCGCAGAGCCCGCAUAGUCUUGUGUUCUAGGUUCACCUUGUUCUGCAUGUGAUGAGGUGUCCGCAUCGUUUUAUGUGCCAGAAGCCCAUCCCUUUUUUUGUCCAUGGAGCCUGCGUCGUUUUGACGUGCGCAGAGCCAGCCUCGUUUUCCGUGCGCAAGGCUGGCCUAGAUUUGUGUGACGUAUCCCUUCUCAUUUCUCAUGCGCGAAGCUCGCCUUGUUUUGCGUGCUGGAAGCCCGUCCUGUUUUCUUGAGCCUAGCCCUCCUUGUUUUGUGUAUCAAGAUUCGCCUCGUUUUGCAUGAGUAGAGUCUGCCUCAUUUUGCUUGCGUCGAUCCCGCCUAAAACCCUACUUUUUGACAAAAAUGCAAAACUUCACAAUGGGGCAACUUAAUUUCUAAAACUUCACAGAGGGGUUACUUAUCAACUAAGUCUAAGACCACUAUUCCGAAUGUUUAGCGGUUCUUCUAGUGCCAAUUUUGACUUGACUGGCAGCAUUUCUAAGAUACUUGACGAGCAAAGGGAAAUCAGAGAACUUCUUCACAAUUUUGAUACUCCAAUGUCGAUAUCAACUAGACGACAACGUCGACAAGCAUUUAAAGAAAAACUGCAACAAGGAAUUCUACGUCAUGAUGAUAUUGAUGUCUCAUUCGAAAGUUUUCCAUAUUACCUAAGGUGCAGCAAUUUGCCUUUUUUAUUAUUAUUGUGGAUCAGAUCAUCAUAUGAUACUGAACUAGCUU
rnacentral:lncRNA from 1 species